rnacentral:rRNA from 1 species
UGGGGAAUUUUGGACAAUGGGGGAAACCCUGAUCCAGCCAUCCCGCGUGUGCGAUGAAGGCCUUCGGGUUGUAAAGCACUUUUGGCAGGAAAGAAACGUCAUGGGUUAAUACCCCGUGAAACUGACGGUACCUGCAGAAUAAGCACCGGCUAACUACGUGCCAGCAGCCGCGGUAAUACGUAGGGUGCAAGCGUUAAUCGGAAUUACUGGGCGUAAAGCGUGCGCAGGCGGUUCGGAAAGAAAGAUGUGAAAUCCCAGAGCUCAACUUUGGAACUGCAUUAUUAACUACCGGGCUAGAGUGUGUCAGAGGGAGGUGGAAUUCCGCGUGUAGCAGUGAAAUGCGUAGAUAUGCGGAGGAACACCGAUGGCGAAGGCAGCCUCCUGGGAUAACGCUGACGCUCAUGCACGGAAGCGUGGGGAGCAAACAGG